UCAUUAAUGAAUUUUGAUUGGGGGUUGAUGCUGGCAGUCACUUCUUUUGGCUGCAUGUGCUUGCCCCCAAUAAUCUUUAUCCAAACACCUGUGCAUGAAUUUCGAGGGUUUCCGGGUUGGUUUUUGCUGUCCUCUCGGAUUCCCUUGUAUUUCCCACUUUUAUACACACUGCUUGCAAUGUCGAAUGUGUUUGUGCCGCAAGGCCAUUAACAAAAUAUACAACUUUUAACAACGGAUCUCUUGGCUCUCGCAUCGAUGAAGAACGCAGCGAAAUGCGAUAAGUAAUGUGAAUUGCAGAAUUCAGUGAAUCAUCGAAUCUUUGAACGCACCUUGCGCUCCCUGGUAUUCCGGGGAGCACGCCUGUUCGAGUGUCGUGAAAUUUCUCAAGCUGAGAUGUUUUUCUUAGUCUUGGUGUUGGGCUCUGCCGUGUCUUUUAUUGGGAUGGCUGGCCUUAAAAGCAUUAGCUGACCCUUAUGUGGGCAAUUGGUUCUACUCAGCGUGAUUAAUGAUUUUGACCGCUGAGGACAUCUUUGGGGAUGGCCAGUUCUCAUUUGGGUUGCUUCUAAUCUUGGUUGUACGGAUUGUUAAUCUGUGCGGCCUCGUUUUUCAGCUUUGACCUCGAAUCAGGUGGGACUACCCGCUGAACUUAAGCAUAUCAAUAAGCGGAGGAAAAGAAACUAACAAGGAUUCCCCUAGUAACGGCGAGUGAAGCGGGAAAAGCUCAAAUUUAAAAUCUGGCAAUCUUUGGUUGUCCGAAUUGUAAUCUAGAGAAGCGUUUUCCGUGCUGGACUGUGUGCAAGUUUCCUGGAUACGGAACAUCAUAGAGGGUGAGAAUCCCGUCCUUCACACAGACUACCAGUGCUUUGUGAUGCGCUCUCGACGAGUCGAGUUGUUUGGGAUUGCAGCUCAAAAUGGGAGGUAAAUUCCUUCUAAAGCUAAAUAUUGGCGAGAGACCGAUAGCGAACAAGUACCGUGAGGGAAAGAUGAAAAGCACUUUGGAAAGAGAGUUAAACAGUACGUGAAAUUGUUAAAAGGGAAACGCUUGAAGUCAGUCAUGUUUGCUUGGACUCAGCCUUACCUCGGUUUGGUGCAUUUCCUUGCAGACGGGCCAGCGUUCAUGUUGUUUGCCAGAGAAGGAGCGAGAGAAUGUGACUCCUUUGGGAGUGUUAUAGCUCUCACUCGCAUGUGGGGAACAAUAUGGAGUGGUACAGCACGCU
rnacentral:rRNA from 1 species